CAGGUGAUGUGGUUGAAACAGGAUCGCUUCGGGCCGUUUGGGGCGGCCUCGCCCUUAUGCUGGGGUUCGAUCCUCUUGGCCUGU
rnacentral:tRNA from 2 species